rnacentral:rRNA from 1 species
AAUGAACGCUGGCGGCAGGCCUAACACAUGCAAGUCGAACGAGUGGCGGACGGGUGAGUAAUGUCUGGGAAACUGCCUGAUGGAGGGGGAUAACUACUGGAAACGGUAGCUAAUACCGCAUACCAUCAGAUGUGCCCAGAUGGGAUUAUCUUGGUGGUGGGGUAACGGCGCACCAAGGCGACGAUCCCUAGCUGGUCUGAGAGGAUGACGGGCCAUACUGUAACUGAGACACGGCCCAGACGCCUACGGUAGGCAGCAUUGGGGAAUAUUGCACAAUGGGCGAAAUCCUGAUGCAGCCAUGCCGCUUGUAUGAAGAAGGCUGUCGGGUUGUAAAGUACUUUCAGCGGUGAGGCGUUAUCCGCAGAAGAAGCACCGGCUAACUCCGUGCCAGCAGCCGCGGUAAUUC